GACGAACGCUGGCGGCGUGCUUAACACAUGCAAGUCGAACGAAGUGGCGAACGGGUGAGUAAUACGUGAGUAACCUGCCCUCCUUUUUGGGAUACGCCUUGGUAACGGGGUCUAAUACCGAAUAAAGGGGGAUGGGCUCGCGGCCUAUCAGCUGGUUGGUGGGGUGAUGGCCUACCAAGGCGGUGACGGGUAGCCGGCCAGCGAGGGUGACAGGCCGAAUUGGGACUGGUAGAGGGCCCGAAGGGCUACAGGAGGCAGCAAUAGGGCACAAUGGACGAAAGGCGGAGGCCUGAUGCAGCGACGUAGGGUGGGGGAUUAAGGCUUUCGGAGUGUAAACCGCUUUGGGGAACGAGAGGGUAGGUGGAGAAGAAGCGCCGGCUAACUACGUGCCAGCAGCCGCGGUAAUAC
rnacentral:rRNA from 1 species